rnacentral:tRNA from 1 species
GAGGGUAUAGCCCAAGUGGUAGAGCACAUGCUUACCGUACACAAAGUCCUGGGUUCAAUCCCCAGUACCUCCU